UUGCUGGGCAGGACAAUUUGAUGGACUUAAACAGAGAAGAAGUACGCUUUGUGAACAGGCGAAUUUUGCCAUCUCAUGUUGCGAAGUACAAAUUUCUGUUUCACGACUCCUUACCAAACGGCGGCGUGUUGAGCAAGUACCAGAAUGGGGGUAGCAAGACGAGCGUGGACGAGCCGUUCCCGUACAAACUAAGCGAGCAGCCGAGCGUGUUCUUCGUCAAGAACGCCAGCAGCGCCAUGUUCGAGGGCGGCGGCGACGCCGACGACUACGGAGGCAACUACGGCGGCAACUACAACAACGACAACUACAGCGGCAACUACGGAGGCGACUCCAACGCCACGGCCAACUCCAACAGCAACAGCUACGGCGGCGGAGGGUUCUUCUCGAGCCAAGAGCAGGAGCGGGACUCGCGGACGAGCCGACUCGCCGACGUGGAGACCUACACCUACUCGGACUACUCGUCGGCCACGCUGCCCCUGAACGGACGCAGCACGCAGAGCACGCCCGAGGCCCCGGUCAUCGUCGAGCAGCCCCGCGCCGAGUCCGAACCUCCGAGGGAUGAUAUUCACCCCUCGACGCCCAGCCCUCCAGAGGGCGGACCCAACACCAAUCCGUAUCUUGAGAGUGAUCUUGCCAUUCAUCAUUCAGAAGAUUCACCAUAG
rnacentral:lncRNA from 1 species